rfam:Picoides pubescens contig25698, whole genome shotgun sequence.
GCAUUUGUUGUUUAGUGGUAGGACACCUGCCUGUUAUGUGGGAAGGCCUGGGUUUGAUUCCUGGCUGGUGCA